GGGAGCAGCAUGAGUUCGGAGCGAGCGGAGUAUGACAUGGUGUGUCAGAGAGCCGUGACCCUUAUUGUCGACCUAUGCCUGCACAACAGCACGCUGUUGGAGCAGGACACGUGUCAGGAGUUCCUCUUCCUGUUGUCCGGCCACGGCGCCAAGCAUACGGAUCAAGACGCUACUUUUGGCCUCCUGCUUGGUGUGUUUGUGCUCGGUGGCUUGGUUCUGUUGGGCCUCCUGGCCUUUGGUUCCUGGAAGCGGUGCGGUCCGCCUCAGCGGCGCAAAGCCAGCUUCCUCGCGCCGUCCCCCAGCCCGGAGCAUCACCCACUGCAGCUGCCUCGCCCGUUGCCAUUGGCGUCGUCCCCAGGUCCCCAGCAGCAGCAGCCAUCGGUUACCAUGGCAACCGAGAAAGUGAAGGACCCCGUGGGCCCGAUGGGAUUCCUAGAGGCUGCAGUUAAGAUAAGCCAUACAUCUCCAGACAUCCCCACUGAUGUUCAACUCUCCAUGAGGGAGCACUUCCUACGUCGCACACAGCGCAUGCAGAGACAAACCACAGAGCCAGCUUCCUCUACCAGGCACAAUUCCUUCAAAAGGCACCUUCCUCGACAGAUGCAGGUUGGCAGCCUAGACUUGGGGAACGACUACAUGUUGGACAAAGAGGAAAAAUCCACAAGCAUCGGCCGCAUUCAGCCGGAGCUCUACCAGCAGAAAACGUUGGACUCCGAGGACUCCUCCAAGAAAGGCAGCAGCAAAAACUGUGGUAGGAUUAACUUCUCUCUGAAGUACGACUACGACAACGAAGCCCUACUCGUUAACAUCAUCAGUGCGGCUGACCUUCCCGCCAAGGACUUGUGCGGCACGUCCGACCCUUACGUCAAGAUCUACCUGCUUCCCGACCGCAAGAAGUUCCAGACGCGCGUCCACCGGAAGACCCUCAACCCCACCUUCAGCGAGAGCUUCCACUUUCCCGUGCCUUACGACGAGCUGGCCGUCAGGAAGCUCCACAUGAGCGUCUUCGACUUCGACAGGUUUUCAAGACACGAUAUGAUUGGGGAGGUGGUGAUGGACAACCUGUUUGAGACGUCGGACCUGUCCCGCGAAACAAAUAUAUGGAGAGACAUCGAAUAUGCCACCAGCGAGAGUGUCGACCUUGGGGAGAUCAUGUUUUCACUCUGUUACCUGCCCACUGCUGGAAGACUCACGCUGACUGUCAUCAAGUGUAGGAACCUCAAAGCCAUGGACAUCACUGGAUACUCAGAUCCUUACGUCAAAGUGUCGCUUAUAUGCGAUGGGCGACGUCUGAAGAAGAAGAAGACCAGCAUAAAAAAGAACACCUUGAAUCCCACCUACAACGAGGCCAUCAUCUUUGACAUCCCACCUGAUAGCAUGGACCACGUCAGCCUGCACAUCUCUGUCAUGGAUUACGAUUUGUACGGUCGGUCACAACGAGGUCAUCGGCGUAAUGCGGUUGGGAUGCAAUGCAGAGGGACUGGGAAGGGACCACUGGAAUGAAAUGUUGGCUUAUCCUCGCAAGCCCAUCGCACACUGGCACCCCUUACUGGAGUCCAAGAAAUCUGAGAAGGAGUGGAAAGCAAGGGCCGCCAGCUUUGACAGCCAGGGCUCCUGUCCUUCCCCCCGCCCCCCAGCGACACCCUGAGCAACACCACCUGAGACCUCUGCAACCUCCUGCAACCCAGAUAGGGGGUGGUAGGACGUUCUUCCUGCCUCCUGUGGAUCCAUUUCCUAUCUGUGUGAUUAUCGAGGAGAAACCCUGCUGUCGCUCCUGCUCUGUACUCCCCCGCCACCCACCCACCCACACACACACACACGCACACACACGCACACACACACACACACACACACACACACACACACACACACACCCCUUUAACCCACCCCUUUAGUUGACUGCCAAACCCCACCUUCCGCCAGUGUGGUCCAAGAGGACUUAGGAGUACGUCAGAUCAGGUCAUAUUUUUGGAUAUUAUGGCGGCUCAAACUGCAGAGAUAGGUGUUUCAAUACCCUUCUUCCUUGUUUGGACAUGUGUGCAGACUGUUAAACUAAGAAAGUCUCAGAGGGAAGCGGGAUGUCUGAGGAGACACGUUUCGCUUUGUAAAACGUCCUGGUGCUGCAUUCAUUUACAUCAAAACAAAAUUAAGCUGUAGCUUCAUUAAGGUGUUAAAUUGAGUUUUCAGUUGCAUCAGUGUGUUGUGAUGCCAAUUUUUUAGACUUCUUGCUAAAUCACUAAUAAGCAGAAUAGGAUGAUGAGUACUGUAAUAAGUAUUCAAUUAAAGCUUGAAAACAAGGAAAUGAAAACAACAGCUACUAACAUACGGUAUUUGCUCAAAAAGUGGCUGUCUCUCAGAUGCCCUGACCCAAUUAGUUGCCGGUUGCAUCAUCCACUUAAGACAAAUAAAUCCCUCAAAGAAAGGCCUCGCUUUUCAAAUUCCAAACCGCCCCCCCCCCACCCCCCUCACCCCAAAAACACUUCAACAGUGCGAGAUUAAACGCAAUUUGUAAUGCAUUACGCUACGUGGAGGCAACAGUGAUUUGUGUUCCAGUUGACUCAGACAUGGGAUCACUCCCCAAUGUUGUGUGCAUCCAUGUUUAUGCUUCUGCCAAGUCUGCCUCAUUUCUUGAUGUUUCACCGCACUUCUCCAUAAUGGUCAUUUUAUUUCGAUUCACUUGAUGAAUAUACCUCCUCCAUAUUGUAUAAAUAGAAAAUAUGAAUUCAAAAAUACAUUUAUACAAAUAAAAGUAGAGCAUCUCCCCCACUGUAAAAGUGCCCCCUCGAUCUGCAGUUGAGUUCAUAAGCACUCAUGGCCACUAUCGCACAACUUCUCAGUUUCUGGUUGAUAUUUGCAUUGCCUCCGUGGUCUCCUCUCGUGGAGGAUGUGUGUAUAAUUUUGUGCAUAUAUUUGCGUACUUUUUUUGUGAUUGUUUGCAUUCUUUUAAACCAGACAAAAUGUGAAGCUACAUGUAGCCUAGCAGGUGGUGACGAUUAGAGAAAAAAAACACUUUCUCGAUGUUUACUGUGUUGGUUCUCUUGUGGAAAAUGUUAUAAUUUGUCACCCAGAUGCCGAUGUGGUUUAGUUGGCUCCCCUUCUUCAAUUUGCUGGACCUGCUGUCUUUCAAGCAAACGGUGAAUUUUAGUGAUGAAAAAUGUUGCGUUGUGACAAGAAAUCUGUACUUUGUUUUGUAGAUGAAGAAGUAAAUAUUUUGUACCAAGAAGAAAACGCCUUUUAGGCUGUGUGAGUGACGAAAAUGUAUAGUUGUUGGAUUACUAAACGUAAAUGUGCGUCAUUCAAAAAAAAAAAAAAAAAAAAAAUAUAUAUAUAUAUAUAUAUAUAUAUAUAUAUAUUUCUAAGUUGUGAUUUAAAAGUAGAAAUGUGUAAGCGUUUCACAAUGCUAAUCCCCAAACCAACAGGAGGCAGUGUAAUUACAAUACUCUCAAUAAAACCAAAAAGUUAAAGUUCAUGUUUUUAUCUGAAAAGAAACUCUUUCUUAGCAUUUCAGAUCACAUUAAAACCUUGGAAAAACAAUUAUACUAUUACAUACAUAAUACAGUCUUGUCUUUGGACAGCGACAGAUACUAGCAAUGAACAUGGACGUGAUAACUUGCAUAGCAUUCUUCUUAUCCUGAAAAUAGAACAACAGUAGGAAAGCAUGACUUCCAAUGAGUCAUCAUUUUUAAAAAAAAUAAUUCAAUUGAUUGCGCUCGAUCUCAAUGGACGAAUAAAAAACUAAUCUUGAACUGGACGAUGGCCAGAUGUGUCACAUCCAGUGGUGACCAAUCAGAUCUUUUCCUGAUAAGACAAUGUUAAGUUUUAAAAGAGUGUUUAUAGUACAAUCGAAUGACCUGACUUAAAAUCUAACUAAUGAAUUAAAACAAAUGUUAAGUUGCUGUCCAAAUAGUAGUGGAAGCUGAUUGGACAACAAUUCAAUGUUGCAAAUCCAGUGUUGGCCAAUCAGAUUCAAUCUGGCAUGGGUUUUAAUACUUGUUUUUACUGCCUGCAAAUGGCCAAAAAAGUCACUUACAGGCAUGGAAAAUGUUGUUUUGAUUGUAACUUUCAAAUAAACAAAAUCAAACGCAAGGUUGCUUUCGAAAAUGGAAGUUGAUUGAGCAAAGAUUAGAUGCACCACUCAAUGGCAGCCAAUCAGAUAUUUUAAUAAAAACAAGUCAACAGGGUUGACUGUUCCAGGCGUCCUACGCCAAGUCGCCCAAAAAAUGGCACUCAAAAAAUAAAAGAGUUUGUUCAAUGUUGAAACGAAGCUUCUGACAUGAUGGAUGUCACAGUACUACUGGCCUCACUGUGCUCGCAUCAUACAAAACAGUUUGUCUCGAGGGGCUUUAGGGCUUCAGGAUAUGUGCAGAUGUUUCCGCAAUGAUCUGUUUUAGACAUUUACUCCUUGUCUGGUGUGUCGACGAGGUGGGGUCAGUCCACUCGGGUCGGCAUUUUGGAGCAGUGGCUUUUUGUUUAAUGGGCCCUCGUUUAAUGGGCCCUGUGUUUGACGUCACCCCUCACCGUAUCAUUGACGCCUCCAAACUUGAUCUGAGUCACUUUUAUUGGCCUUUGAUUUAAAUGAUUUGUUUUGUAUUUUAUAUUUUGUUCAUUCUUAGUCAUGCAGUAUGCCUUUUUAUGCUGGAACAGUUAAGCGCCAACAGGAGAGCAAAAAGAACAACAAAUAUAAUAACUGCACAACAACUAGGGAUGUACAAGUACUUACAUUUGCCUACUCGUUGAUAUCCAUUACGCAUUGAAAUUAAGAUGAAAAUGUGUUUUAUUUUGAUCAAAUAUUGCACAAAACUAACUUUUCUUACACGUGGCAGAAGUUUUACUGAAAUGUAGCACUUUUUAGACUAACAACUUGUCAUUACUGACAUUUUAACAUCCAACAACAUGUUUUGCUACCAUUCUUGCCAAACUUUUCACUUAAAUGUAGCCUGUCACCUGAGGCAUUUUAUGUAGUGUCUCAGUCUGAACAAUAGGGGGCCCUAUGUAAAACGAGUACAUACAGUAGAUAAAAGGAGAAAGAAGAAAGACCACACCCCUGCUUACACCCCGAGUAGACACAUCUUUGUCUUUAGUGGCCCACAUAAAAAGAUGUGGCAUGCCGAAGCUGGGCCCAAACCGUUGAGUUUGAAAACUGUGAACUAGAAGGUUCAAACUGUCACUAUCAUAAAAGUUUUAUUCGCUCUACAGGCAUUUUCACAUUACCAACUGUCAAGUUGGAAAAAUAAGUCAAACUACUCACCCUUUGAAAGCAACAGGAAAGUCUUUGCCGAGAUAUUUCGGCAGGCAGUAUCAGAAAAAUCUUGUUUUGUGGUUGUUUUUUCAGUAUGUACUAGUCACCGAAACCGAAACCCGAAACUGAGAAUCCCAAGGCCGAAAGCUGAAACGCCGGAAGGGAUUAUCAACCAAUCAAGCUUUAUUUGUAAGCGCUUUUCAUACAAUAAAAUGGAACACAAAGUGCUUUACAUUAAUUAAAAUAUAAAAAUAAAUCAAACCUGGCAAUUAUUUAUUCUAAAGUUAUGCCAAAUGUCAAUACAACUGGAUUUAUGGCUAUGAUAGCAGAGCUGCCAACCUAAAGAAAUUCUCUUCCAGAACAAUGUGAAUGUCCAUCUUUUUACCACGGGACAGUUAUUGCGGUAUAUUAUGUAAUAGGCUGAAAAAAAAUCUGCAUACUGUUCAGUUUCACAACAUAACAAUUACUCUAUAAUAGUAAUAAUAAAUUGGCAUCAAUAUUUGAUAUUGCAUGAACAUGGCAGACACAUUUGCAGCCAAAUGUCCUCUUGAAUGCACUUUUUGUAGUUCAUGUAUCCACUGGUGCUGCUGAAAUGAUGCAAAUGUCUCCACUGUGGGACUAACAAAGGUUAUCUUAUAUAAAGAUUUAUUAUAUUCAUGUACUUUAAAUAAUUUUGGGGGAAAAAGUAUUUCGUUCCACAAUCGAAAAUGCACUUUUGGGCUAUUGUCGGCAUUUCGCCGACCGAAAUUUCGGUGCCUCGCUAGUAUGUACUGUUUAAGCAGUUUUAUGUUCAACAUGGCAUCACCUUGGUCAAACUAAUUUGGGUAUGUUAAGAGACAUAACGAUAUUUGUGUUUUGCUUAUUCUCAGUGGUACCCGGGUGACACACACAAGAGAUAAGUAGCACAUACAAACCAUAUGGACAUGGAGGUAAGGGAGCAACAGGGUUUAGGAUUCGCCUCAUCCUAUUCAGGUUAGUGGAUUCUGUGGACCUUAAUUUCUUUGAAUUUUUAUGUUUAAUUCAGUUGUUCAACCACUGAACUAUUGGAGUUUCGAGGUCGGCCUGUCAGGAUAAUUUUUCUAAGAUGAUAUAUUUUCAAAACAUCUAUCACGGUAAAUGAUAAUAUUGUCGUUGUUUUUUUUUUAAUGCCUCUGAAAUCGUGAAAAAUAAGGCCCGUCCUCAUUCACUCAUUCAUUCAUUUUCCAUAGCGCUUAUCCUUACUCGGGUGGUGCCUAUCCCAGCUUACUCUGGGCAAGAGGCGGGGUAAACCCUGAAUUGGUCACCAGCCAAUCGCAGGGCACAUACAGUAUAAACAAACCACUAUUCGAACUCACUUUCACACCUACGGGCAAUUUAGAGUCUUCAAUUAACCUAUCAUGCAUGUUUUUGGAAUGUGGGAGGAAACCGGAGUACCCGGAGAAAACCCACGCGGGCACAGGAGAACAUGCAAACUCCACACAGGAGAGGCCGGAUUUCAACCCAGGUCUGGGAUGGGCUCCAGCGCGCCCGCGACCCUGGUGAGGAUAAGCGGCUCAGAAAAUGGAUGGAUGGAUGGAUGGAUGGAUAUUACAUUUUAUUUUUUGCUGUUAAAUCAUUGUUGUUAUUAUUAUUAUUGUUAUUGUUGUUGUAAUUAUUAUAAGUUACUUUCUUGUUUCGCUAUUACAUUGUUUAUCUUUACUCUGUGAUAUGGAUCCCCUUUGGGUCUGAAAUAAAGAAUAAAGAGCUGCAAGACUAGCCUGGUUUACAUGGAGCCUUCUAUUCCGAUUAUAAUCGGUUUAGAAGCCCAAAUGGAUGAAAAUGCUCCAGAUAAACACCUGAAAUGCAAUAAACAGACCAAAUCCAAAUGGAAUUACAUUCGGUUUCACAGGGGUGGAAUUUCUUUUGCCAAUCCGAUCAGAAGUACAUUUUCGCAAUGUAGAUGUCAUUCAGAAUAGUCGUGAAAAGUUCUGUCUGCGCAUGCGUCGUCUGUGUGGUUGGUCCGCUGAAGAUGAGCCCUUCGCCUGUCAAUCCAAUAUACGUUAGCUACUGGCUGAAUAACGUGUGCCACUGAGGUUAUGCUUAAUAAACAGUUAACGUUCCCCUGUUUGUGUUGAUUGGGGACUAACACACAACAACAACCUGGAGAGGCACUGACGUUUAAAACAACUUCGCCGCAGUGAAGUGAGCUGUUUAGCUCCUUAAUCCGUUAGCUCACAGGCUAGCUCGUUUGCUUGCGGCUGGGCUAGCGAACACAACACACAGUCAACUUUCCCUUAAGUGUCUCUGUAGUGUGAAUCUACGUGCUGCACAUGGAGCAAGGCUGUGGAGUAUUGGAUGGAGCCACCAGUAAGAGUGUAGCGGUCUUGGGUCUGCCGGCGUUGCAUAAGCCCUACUAGCACCUAAAGACACAGCCGUCCAACUCUGUCGGCUUACUAUGUGAUCCGCACACCGGCUCACCGCAACAAUGAGCAUUUAUCGAGUCCGGAAAAACUAUCGUUGUCCAUUUUAUUUCUCAAACGAUAAGUCGAUAUAGUAAUUAUCUUAACAGGCCAAUUCGAGUGUCUGCUGUACUUACCUGCACUUUUAGGCAGUUACACGUUUUUGACAAUGUGAGGUUGUUUGGUUUUCAGGCUUUUAGCUUCGCCUCACGUUGCCAUCUUUCUCAAAAUAAUUUAUUAUUUUUUUUAAAUGGGCAUUUUGUAUUAGUGUCAAGUGAAACAAAUAUUCUGUUGAUGAAAUGAAUAACUAAGCAUAAGGAGUUUGUUAUAGAUAUACCAGUGAAAUAAUUGGCAUCAGGUUGAUCCCCACUUGUCACUCUCAAACCACUUUGUUGUUUUCCUUCCAUUGGGCGUGAUGUGUUUUGGUUCUGUGACAUAAUUAGCUUUUUGAUUAAAGGAUUUAGGCAAAUUGGCCUGUUGUUUGUUUUUGUCGUAUAAUGGCGGAGGCCUAACAAGCCACAGCAGCCACCGACAACAUUAACUGAAACAGUCGAAUGCACUCACACAGCAAGGUGUCAUGGUCUGUGUUUUGGUUUGGGUUGUGUUUAGUUUUGUUCCAUGUUUUCCUGUGCUCCAUGUUUGUCGUGUGCUCAUUUGGUUGUUGAAACCUGUUCCCACCUGUUCUCGUCUACCUUGUGUCGACCAAUCAGCUCUCUCCAGCCAUUCUUGUCUUGUCCAGGUGUUCCUCGUUGUCUCGUCAAUCUGUUUGUAUUUAGUUCUCUGGUUUCUUGUCAGCUCAUUGUCGUUGCAGUUUAUGAUUGUCAGGUGUCAUUGUCUCUGUCUGUGCCAUGUCAUAGUCGCCAGUUGUCGCUCAGUUAUUUCUUCAAUCAUGUUUUGGGUUUACUCAAGUGUUUCUUUGUAACUUUGUGUUUAGAUUUUGGACUCUGUUAAUUUAGCAUUUAGACUUUUUCAUGAUCCUUGUUUUCCUUUGGGUUUUUUUUUAAAUUAAAAAUAAAAAAAAUUAUAUA